AGCUUUGGGCAAUGGCAGUAUCAUAGCCAAUGAGGUUUAUCCAAGGUGCCAUUAUUGCUAAUUGAAAACUUUUUCUGAUACCCCGCCAUGACGACUUGAAAUACAGUCGGCAUUGGCAAUAAAAAUAUAUAUAUACAUAUA